GAUCAAACUCUGGACCUUGUGCUUGUGAAGCAGCCAUGGUGCCACUGAGCUAAAUCCCCAAUCCCUGGAGAGUCCUCUUAUUCAAGGCCCAGAGCUGCAAGGCUGGAGGGUCACCCAGCCAGAAAUUAAACUUGGAAGGCACCUCAGAUAGUUCCCAGGCUGGUGUGGGCUGUGUUGUUUUGAGGGAGCAGUUUGGGGUCAUGGUGAGCAUGAAAGGCAAAUGUGAAUUGGAUUCCAGCUGUGUGUUCUCACAACUGUGAUGGGACAAAUGUUCACAGGGGCCUGCCUGGCCCUAGAGGCGGGCACAUUUCCUAAAAGGAGCAACCAAGUCCCAUGUCAGCUCCAGUGAGUGUGAUCGGGAAGCAUCUCGCAGUAUGGAAAACAGGAAAUGGGUGAAGUUGCCCUACCCCCGCCCCAGAGCAGGGCACUACCCCUCCUCAUCUAUUGAUCCUCAGACUGGGACAGUGGCCAGCACUCGGUGAAUCCUGGGGAAGGGAUGAUUUCAUUUCCUAUUUGCAUUUCUACGUGAUGGGGCCACAUCUUUAUCCACAGGAACAAGUACUGUCAACAAAUAUUAUCAUGGAGUGUUACAAUUUAUUUGUGUUGAUUUCAUAUGUGUUCAAUAAUUUCUCAUGUUUCAAUGUAA